GGUGGGUAGGUUCCAGUCUAUGUCCUCGCCUCUGGCCUCCUGCAACAUAUCUGCCCCCAGAGCAAAGGAGGGGACGCCCUGGGGCUUUUUCUUUGCAGAGCACUGCCCAGCCCAGGAGGUUUGAGCUGAGGGAGAGGCAGGAUGCCCUGGAGCCUGUGAACCAGCUGCAGGAGACCCCAGACCCCUGGCAGAGCCUGGACCCCUUCAGUUCCCUGGACUCUAAGCCCUUCAAGAAAGGCAGACCCUACUUCGUGCCUGCCUGCGUGGAGGAGGUUCCGGGACAGAAGCACAAGAGGAAGGGUGCCACCAAGCUGCAGGACUUCCACCAGUGGUGCCUGGCCACCUGUGAGUGGG